GACAGAGGGUGCAAACGUUGUUCGGAAUUACUGGGCGUAAAGCGCGUGUAGGCGGCUAAGUAAGUCGGGCGUGAAAUCCCACGGCUCAACCGUGGAAGUGCACUCGAAACUGCAUAGCUAGAGUCCUGGAGAGGAAGGUGGAAUGCUUGGUGUAGAGGUGAAAUUCGUAGAUAUCAAGCGGAACACCGGUGGCGAAGGCGGCCUUCUGGACAGUGACUGACGGCUGAGA
rnacentral:rRNA from 1 species